rnacentral:rRNA from 1 species
AGUGAACGCUGGCGGUAGGCCUAACACAUGCAAGUCGAACGGCAGCACAGUAAGAGCUUGCCCUUACGGGUGGCGAGUGGCGGACGGGUGAGGAAUACAUCGGAAUCUACUUUUUCGUGGGGGAUAACGUAGGGAAACUUACGCUAAUACCGCAUACGACCUACGGGUGAAAGCAGGGGAUCUUCGGACCUUGCGCGAUUGAAUGAGCCGAUGUCGGAUUAGCUAGUUGGCGGGGUAAAGGCCCACCAAGGCGACGAUCCGUAGCUGGUCUGAGAGGAUGAUCAGCCACACUGGAACUGAGACACGGUCCAGACUCCUACGGGAGGCAGCAGUGGGGAAUAUUGGACAAUGGGCGCAAGCCUGAUCCAGCCAUACCGCGUGUGUGAAGAAGGCCUUCGGGUUGUAAAGCCCUUUUGUUGGGAAAGAAAAGCAGCAGGUUAAUACCCCGCUGUUCUGACGGUACCCAAAGAAUAAGCACCGGCUAACUUCGUG